rnacentral:rRNA from 1 species
AGAAUCAACGCUGGCGGCGUGCCUAACACAUGCAAGUCGAACGCGAAAGCCCCUUCGGGGGUAAGUAGAGUGGCGUCCGGGUGAGUAACACGUGGGUAAUCUGCCUUCGGGUGGGGAAUAACCCAGGGAAACUUGGGCUAAUACCGCAUAAUGCAGCGGCACCUAAUGGUGAUUAGUUGUUAAAGCGGGGGAUCGCAAGACCUCGCGCCUGAAGAGGAGCCUGCGGCAGAUUAGCUAGUUGGUGAGGUAAUGGCUCACCAAGGCAUCGAUCUGUAGCUGGUCUGAGAGGACGGCCAGCCACACUGGCACUGACACACGGGCAGACU